rnacentral:rRNA from 1 species
AACGAACGCUGGCGGCAUGCCUAACACAUGCAAGUCGAACGAAGCCUUCGGGCUUAGUGGCGCACGGGUGCGUAACGCGUGGGAAUCUGCCCUUGGGUUCGGAAUAACAGUUAGAAAUGACUGCUAAUACCGAAUGAUGUCUUCGGACCAAAGAUUUAUCGCCCAAGGAUGAGCCCGCGUCGGAUUAGCUGGUUGGUGAGGUAAAGGCUCACCAAGGCGACGAUCCGUAGCUGGUCUGAGAGGAUGAUCAGCCACACUGGGACUGAGACACGGCCCAGACUCCUACGGGAGGCAGCAGUGGGGAAUAUUGGACAAUGGGCGAAAGCCUGAUCCAGCAAUGCCGCGUGAGUGAUGAAGGCCUUAGGGUUGUAAAGCUCUUUUACCCGGGAUGAUAAUGACAGUACCUGGAGAAUAAGCUCCGGCUAACUCCGUGCCAGCAGCCGCGGUAU